ACCAGUGACGAUAGCAGGUUGAAUGUUCCAGUUCUAAAUGGAUCACUGAAGUUAAGCAACGUUGCGCGUAGUUAGUAUCCGGAUGGGUGACCAUCAGGGCAAUCACACUCAGGCUGGGU
rnacentral:rRNA from 1 species